GUGUGUGUGUGUUGCUCUGCUCUCGAUCCUCCAUGUGGUAAUGCUUUUGUUGCAUAAGUAAGAUCUGAUUUGAUGACCCUGAACUGCUGCCUUUUUCCAUUCAUGUCUGUUUAAGCGUUAAUGGAUGAUUGUGUUCUGUCAGGACCUCACAUCGCCCUCUGACCCGCACACUGCUAAAGGAAAAACCAUAAAUACAUCCCGGCCGCGGUCCAAGGAAGAGAUUCGACACGAUACAUCCUCGGCCUCUCAUUGUAUUACCGUAUGGACCGCUGAAAUACAGAGAAUGACAUUUGUUCAUUUCAGCACACUGUGACCAUUUCAAGAAUCUGGGACAAUUAUAUUGAAUAAUUCUACUCCCCUCCGCCAUAUUGUUAUUCAAACAAUCGUCUAUUCCACGAACACUCAAACGCACACCGUCCGUCUUCCUUAAUGCCUUCCAAAGAGCGUCAUUUGAGAAUGUCAGUUGCGAGCCUAAUUUCAGAAUAAUCUCACCUCGCUAAUGCAGCCCAGGAGGACGUCCAGCUUUUCCUCAUGCCGCUGUUUUAUUGCGCUCACAUUUUUGGACUCGGCAGAUCUCAUCAGUAGCUGUCCGCGGAUUUUGGCCCAACUCUACACUUUCCCUUGGAACGAGCCCAGCGGUAGAUGGAAGCUAUUAGGUCAGGAAGAGAGAAGUCAGUCAGUCAGUCAUACGGGUUUAGAACGACAUGAGGAUGAUAUGUGUGGUAACAGAAUAUGCAUGUCAGUAGUAAAAGCACUGAUUCAUCGGCCGUGAUGAAGAGGAUUUUCCCUUCUUUGUAAUUUUAUGGCGCUACACGGUGAAUGAAGAAC
ensembl:lncRNA